rnacentral:rRNA from 1 species
GCGGAGGGAUCAUUACACAAAUAUGAAGGCGGGCUGGAACCUCUCGGGGUUACAGCCUUGCUGAAUUAUUCACCCUUGUCUUUUGCGUACUUCUUGUUUCCUUGGUGGGUUCGCCCACCACUAGGACAAACAUAAACCUUUUGUAAUUGCAAUCAGCGUCAGUAACAAAUUAAUAAUUACAACUUUCAACAACGGAUCUCUUGGUUCUGGCAUCGAUGAAGAACGCAGCGAAAUGCGAUAAGUAGUGUGAAUUGCAGAAUUCAGUGAAUCAUCGAAUCUUUGAACGCACAUUGCGCCCUUUGGUAUUCCAAAGGGCAUGCCUGUUCGAGCGUCAUUUGUACCCUCAAGCUUUGCUUGGUGUUGGGCGUCUUGUCUCUAGCUUUGCUGGAGACUCGCCUUAAAGUAAUUGGCAGCCGGCCUACUGGUUUCGGAGCGCAGCACAAGUCGCACUCUCUAUCAGCAAAGGUCUAGCAUCCAUUAAGCCUUUUUUUCAACUUUUGACCUCGGAUCAGGUAGGGAUACCCGCUGAACUUAAGCAUAUCAAUAAGCGGAGGAAAAGAAACCAACAGGGAUUGCCCUAGUAACGGCGAGUGAAGCGGCAACAGCUCAAAUUUGAAAUCUGGCUCUUUUAGAGUCCGAGUUGUAAUUUGCAGAGGGCGCUUUGGCUUUGGCAGCGGUCCAAGUUCCUUGGAACAGGACGUCAUAGAGGGUGAGAAUCC